rnacentral:lncRNA from 1 species
UUUCUUCUCCUAGGAAUUCUAUUUAACCAGACAAUGGCUAGCACAGCAUCCAUAAACGAUCAUAUCCUCGUGAACAACCUGCUUCUAAACCCGUAAUACCCUGUGGAAGUAAUCUCAAGGUCCAGAAUGGCGGUGAAUACUAGGAACACAAUUGGUGUUGUUCUCGUCGUCAUCGUGAUGGUAGCGGCGGUAUCAACACCAGUGGCAACUACCGAAGAGUUCUGUUGGGACAAAUGUAUCAAGCGCUGCAAGGGAGAACUAGAGGUUUGCAGCCCAAAGUGCAUUCAUUUUUGCAACUAUCAAUCCNNNNNNNNNNN